rnacentral:rRNA from 1 species
AGUUUGAUCAUGGCUCAGGAUGAACGCUGGCGGCGUGCCUAAUACAUGUAAGUCGAACGGACAGAUAGCAAUAUUUGUGAGUGGCGAACGGGUGAGUAACGCGUGGGUGACCUGCCCCGGAGUGUGGGAUAACCGUCCGAAAGGACAGCUAAUACCGCAUGGACAGCGGUGCGUUAGAGACACCGCUGCAAAGCAGCAAUGCGCUUCGGGAGGGGCCUGCGUCCCAUCAGCUAGUUGGUCGGGUAACGGCCUACCAAGGCGAUGACGGGUAGGGGGCCUGAGAGGGUGGCCCCCCACACUGGCACUGAAACACGGGCCAGACACCUACGGGUGGCAGCAGUAGGGAAUCUUGCACAAUGGGCGCAAGCCUGAUGCAGCAACGCCGCGUGCGCGAUGAAGGUCUUCGGAUCGUAAAGCGCUUUUCUGGAGGAUGAGCAAGGACAGUACUCCAGGAAUAAGUCUCGGCUAACUACGUGCCAGCAGCCGCGGUAAAACGUAGGAGACAAGCGUUAUCCGAAUUUACUGGGCGUAAAGCGCGUGCAGGUGGCCAGGCAAGUGGCAUGUGAAAUCUCCCGGCUCAACUGGGAGGGGCCGUGCCAAACUACCUGGCUAGAGGGCGGUAGAGGGAGGUGGAAUUCCCGGUGUAG